AUUGAACGCUGGCGGCAUGCCUUACACAUGCAAGUCGAACGGCAGCACGGGAGCAAUCCUGGUGGCGAGUGGCGAACGGGUGAGUAAAGUAUCGGAACGUGCCCAGUCGUGGGGGAUAACGUAGCGAAAGUUACGCUAAUACCGCAUGCGAUCUAUGGAUGAAAGCGGGGGAUCGCAAGACCUCGCGCGAUUGGAGCGGCCGAUAUCAGAUUAGGUAGUUGGUGGGGUAAAGGCUCACCAAGCCGACGAUCUGUAGCUGGUCUGAGAGGACGACCAGCCACACUGGGACUGGGACACGGCCCAGACUCCUACGGGAGGCAGCAGUGGGGAAUUUUGGACAAUGGGCGAAAGCCUGAUCCAGCCAUGCCGCGUGCAGGAUGAAGGCCUUCGGGUUGUAAACUGCUUUUGUACGGAACGAAAAGGUUUGGGCUAAUAAGCUGAGCUCAUGACGGUACCGUAAGAAUAAGCACCGGCUAACUACGUGCCAGCCGCCGCCGUAA
rnacentral:rRNA from 1 species